UUGUGAUUGUAAUAGCAAGAUAUUAUGUGAAAUAAUAUAUUGCAAUUAACAUGGCAAUUAAUCUCAAAUUGAAUAGGAAAAUUGCAAGUUACAUUUUGAGUGAGGAUUUGAUGAGGAGUGAUGAGAGGGUUUUGAAUAAAUACCAUUUUGAUCACCUUUGACUCUUCAUUGAUUGAGCUGUUAUUGUCCGUUGCAUGCACGUGGGGAUCUUGGUGUGCCUCGAUGGUAAUUUUGUCCUUUUUACCCAAAAGUACCAUAAUUUUCUUAAUUAUUUUUUGGCUCCACAAAUGCCCCCUACCUGCUAGGCUGCUCCCAGGAAAGGGCAACAGGUGUAGAGAUCUCCAACUUUGAUGCAGAUUCCCACUUGACUUGAAAUUAUAUUCUUCUAAGAAAGGGAAAUAAAUCACCUCCAAAGCCUAUUUAAGCCUACCUUAAGUAGAUGAUUA
rnacentral:lncRNA from 1 species